UGGGGAAUAUUGCACAAUGGAGGGAACUCUGAUGCAGCGACGCCGCGUGAACGAAGAAGGCUUUCGAGUCGUAAAGUUCUUUUAUAUGGGAAGAUAAUGACGGUACCAUAAGAAAAAGCCCCGGCUAACUACGUGCCAGCAGCCGCGGUAAUACGUAGGGGGCUAGCGUUGUCCGGAAUCACUGGGCGUAAAGGGUUCGCAGGCGGAAAUGCAAGUCAGGUGUAAAAGGCAGUAGCUUAACUACUGUAAGCAUUUGAAACUGCAUAUCUUGAGAAGAGUAGAGGUAAGUGGAAUUUUUAGUGUAGCGGUGAAAUGCGUAGAUAUUAAAAAGAAUACCGGUGGCGAAGGCGACUUACUGGGCUCAUUCUGACGCUGAGGAACGAAAGCGUGGGUAGCGAACAGG
rnacentral:rRNA from 2 species